rnacentral:piRNA from 1 species
GAACAGAAUGAUGCCAUAGCUGUGAAA